GGAUGCGACCAUACCAGCACUAAAGCACCGAAUCCCAUUAGAACUCCGAAGUUAAGCGUGCUUGGGCGAGAGUAGUACUAGGAUGGGUGACCUCCUGGGAAGUCCUCGUGUUGCAUUCC
rnacentral:rRNA from 1 species